rnacentral:rRNA from 1 species
CAACGAUGAAGAGUUUGAUCCUGGCUCAGGAUGAACGCUAGCGGCAGGCCUAACACAUGCAAGUCGAACGGUAACAUAAGGUGCUUGCACUUUGAUGACGAGUGGCGCACGGGUGCGUAACGCGUAUAGAACCUACCCUGUACAGGGGGAUAGCCCAGAGAAAUUUGGAUUAAUACCCCGUAGUAACUAUUGAUGGCAUCAUUAGUAGUUUAAAGUUUUCGGAUGGUACAGGAUGGCUAUGCGUCCUAUUAGUUAGAUGGUGAGGUAACGGCUCACCAUGGCAGCGAUAGGUAGGGGCCCUGAGAGGGGGAUCCCCCACACUGGUACUGAGACACGGACCAGACUCCUACGGGAGGCAGCAGUGAGGAAUAUUGGACAAUGGGC